rnacentral:rRNA from 1 species
UGGGGAAUAUUGCACAAUGGGCGAAAGCCUGAUGCAGAGACGCCGAGUGAGGGAUGCCGGCCUUCGGGUUGUAAACCUCUUCCAGUAGGGACGAAACGCCAGUGACGGUACCUUCAGCAGAAGCACCCGCUAACUACGGGACAGCAGCCGCGGUAAUACGUAAGGUGCGAGCGUUGUCCGCAAUUACUGGGAGUACACAGGUCGUAGGCGGUUUGUUACGUAGUCUGUGAAAUCCUAGGGCUUAACCCUGGACGUUCAGGCGAUACGGGCUGACUUGAGUACUACAGGGGAGACUGGAAUUGCUGGUGUAGCGGUGGAAUGCACAGAUAUCAGGAAGAUCUCCGAUGGCGAAGGCAGGUCUCUGGGUAGUAACUGACGCGGAGGAGCGAAAGGAUGGGUAGCGAACAGG